GUACUUUUGGUAAACCGAGUUCGUCUUUUGGUAAGCAUGUGCGGCUCUUAUCCAAAGCUGGGACAGACUCUGGUCAUGCUGAGCUCUCCAGCUGGAUCUCUGACAUGAAGAAUGAAGAUGUACUUAAAUUGUCCAGUCCAGUCUUGGAUCCGUCUGUCAGUAACUUCUGAGAAGCUAGAAAUGUAAUCAGGCUGACAAAGGCUGAGUUGGAAAUCACUUUUUAAAAGGUUUCUGAGGAGAAUUCCAGGAACAAUAGAAGUCGCCCUACCUGGAUUCCAGGAAUUCCUUCUCGCCGGCUUUUGGCCACGUGACUCUGACGUCACAAGGAAAUCCUAUCUGGCUUUUGAUCAGCACACGUGAAUCUUCUCCAAAGUUGGACUGGCGUC